rnacentral:lncRNA from 1 species
GGCGGUGGCGCAAGAAGACGAGCCACCCUCCUCGCCUCCGGUGACCUCUACUCGCUGGCGAGCUUCUCUCUGGUAGGAUCCCUUCUCUUUCGUUAGAUCUGCUCUCUGCCUCUCUUUUGUUCGGCGUUGGACAGGCACAGGCAGCACCGUGCGCUGGGAUCCUCCUCGGCGCCGUGUAGCUUCCCAUAGACAUUGGAUAGGCACAGGCAGCACCGUGUGCUUGUGCUUCGAUCGUAGCUGUGUACAGGCGGAACAAGUGUACUCCACUUGAUUAUUAUGGCAUGCCUGGCUGCCACGCUCCUCUGCUGGCACAAGAAGAAGAAGAGGGGGAGGAAGGCAGAGGAGGAGGCCAAGGCCGAGGUGCUCAACUUCAGCGACCACGUCCACGUCCACGUCCACAAGCAGACCGUCCCAGGGCCGGCUGGGGGCGCGACCGCCGUCAGGCGGACGGUGGACGAGGAUGUCAGGUUCCAGGAGGCGGUCAGGAAGCAGGACACCAUCAGCGAGUCCUCGAGCACUGCCCCUUGGGCCUUGCACAAGAAACACGAGAGCGGAGAGGAGAGGAAGACGGAGGUCAUCAACGUCACCAAGCACAAGCACGUCGACGAGAAAUUUGGGAAAUGGAGUACAGUUGGGAGAAAUUUGGGAAAUGGAGUACAGUUGGGCUGCAAAUUCCUCCUCGGCCACCAGCACCACCUAGCUUCUUCUCUUCUCUCUCUCUCUACACCGCACCACAUGGUUAUAUGAACCAAAUAAUUUAUUUAUUUUCAGAUUGUCCCGGCUCCAGCUAGAGUAGGCGAGGAUGAGCCUCCCCCAUCCUGGGUGUUGGUGCCUGAUUCAUUUUAUCAAGGUACUAGCCAAAACCUAAAGAAAUUAAAUUAUAUGAACUACGUAACUAGCUUUAGUAAUUAGUUUUCCUUAUUUCUCUUGAUGUUACUUUUAGUUUUGCUACGGACAUGAGCAAUAGAGAUCACCUUAGGAGGAGGGAGGAUGAUGAUGAUGACCUCUUCCUUUUGAUUCUCCCUUCCCUACAUCUCUUGGGCUAUCUUGGAUGUAAUAAAAAGAAAUUGAGUGAAA